AAAGUCGUAACAAGGUCUCCGUUGGUGAACCAGCGGAGGGAUCAUUACUGAGUUACCGCUCUACAACCCUUUGUGAACAUACCUUAACUGUUGCUUCGGCGGGCAGGAGGACAACCCCCCCUCGGGGGGGCGGUCCCCCUCCCGGCCGCGCCCUCACGGGCGUGGCGCCCGCCGGAGGAUACCAAACUCUAUUUUAACGACGUUUCUUCUGAGUGGCACAAGCAAAUAAUUAAAACUUUUAACAACGGAUCUCUUGGUUCUG
rnacentral:misc_RNA from 1 species